rnacentral:rRNA from 1 species
CCUACGGGAGGCAGCAGUCGAGAAUCAUUCACAAUGGGGGAAACCCUGAUGGUGCGACGCCGCGUGGGGGAAUGAAGGUCUUCGGAUUGUAAACCCCUGUCAUGUGGGAGCAAAUUAAAAAGAUAGUACCACAAGAGGAAGCUACGGCUAACUCUGUGCCAGCAGCCGCGGUAAUACAGAGGUCUCAAGCGUUGUUCGGAAUCACUGGGCGUAACGCGUGCGUAGGCUGUUUCGUAAGUCGUGUGUGAAAGGCGCGGGCUCAACCCGCGGACGGCACAUGAUACUGCGAGACUAGAGUAAUGGAGAGGGAAGCGGAAUUCUCGGUGUAGCAGUGAAAUGCGUAGAUAUCGAGAGGAACACUCGUGGCGAAGGCGGGUUCCUGGACAUUAACUGACGCUGAGGCACGAAGGCCAGGGGAGCGAAAGGGAUUAGAUACCCUAGUAGUC